rnacentral:rRNA from 1 species
UACGAAGGGGGCUAGCGUUGCUCGGAAUCACUGGGCGUAAAGGGUGCGUAGGCGGUCUGUCGCGUCGGCUGUGAAAACCCGAGGCUCAACCUCGGGCCUGCAGUCGAUACGGGCAAACUAGAGUACUGCAGGGGAGACUGGAAUUCCUGGUGUAGCGGUGAAAUGCGCAGAUAUCAGGAGGAACACCCGUGGCUAAGGCGGCUCUCUAGUACGUGACUGACGCUGAGACGCGAAAGCGUGGGGAGCGAACAGG